GAGAGAUACUAAAUUACAGGUUUGUUGAACUCUGAAAAUAUAAGAACUGUUACAAUUGACUACUGGGAAACCUCAGGGGAAUUUUUGGCUGUAAGACAUUUUGUUUAGUUUUGGAAACUUUCUUCCCCUAGAGGGCACUUUGAGAAUUGUUGCAAAUUGGAUUGUAACUACUAAGGCAGUGGAAAUUUCCCUUGAAAAACAACUAACAGCUGUGAGAGUGACCUUGGCUAGGCAUGAGUGGUGCACCAGAAGAGACAACAACCAGGUCUGGGAGACAAUACAAAGUAAAAUCUUCACAGCGAAGAGUUUCAGUCCCAGGCAUCCCAGUGGCACCAGCUGCAACUGGUCAGACAAGAACAAUAAUGUCAUCAGAUCCUGUAACACAAGCUUUGGUUAAAAUAAAUGAGUCUUUGGAAUCUUUGACAAAGCAGGGGGUGGAAAAUAGCAGAAAAUUGACAGAACUCUCAAUUAAACUUGAUCAGAAUACACAAAGUGUGAAUGAAUUAGGGAAAAGGGUGACAUCUAAUACAGAAUCUAUUAAUAAAAUAUUAGAGGACUCUGCCAAUAUACGUAAAAUCGCAGAAGAAGCCAAAGUCUCUGCUGAUGAGGCUAAAGUCUCGGCGGAUGCUACACAGGAAAAAAAUUGUACCAGUUUGCAAAAAGUUAGAAGAUCACACAUUGGCCCUGUCUAUGCUUGAAUUGCAGAGAAGAGACAGAAAUUUAAGACUACGAGCGGUGCCUGAAAGCGAAGGAGAUAACUUGGCGAACUUCCUUUCCAAAGAAUUUGCGGAUUUUUGGCAACAGGAGUUAGAGAAAGAAGAAAUUAAAAUAGUCACUGCCUUUAGACUGGGAAGAGCACAAGGUAGGAAGAAGCCAAGGGAUUGCCUAAUAACAUUAGGAUCAAGAGAGGAGAGAGAUAAAAUAUUGAGCCUGCAUUUUCAAAGAACACUCGAGAUUGAAGAUUCUUUUGUGGAGAUUUUUAAAGAUAUUCCAAAGGAAAUUCUAGACGCAAGAACAAACUAUAAAGAACUGGUCGGAUUGCUGAAGAAGAACGAAGUACCUUUCAGGUGGGAAUUCCCGCAAGGCCUAUCUUUUAAAUUCAAAGGUAGGAAAAUAAGGAUAAGAUCAGUAGAAGAUCGAGAUCAAUUUCUAAAUCACUAUAGGGAAGACCUUCUGAAAGGAACAGUCGGAGAGGAAAUAACACCAGAAUCGAAAGACGCAACAGACAUUUUAAACUUGACGUUUGGACUGAAAUCACCAACAGAAGAAGAACAACUACUCGGAGCAACAGGAGGCAAAUAGCUUCAGGAUGGCCUUGCAACUUCUAAGUUGGAAUUGUAACGGACUUAACCUUCCGCGAAAGAGGAAAAAUAUAUUUCAUUUAUUGAAAAAGAGCAGUUGGACUUAAUUUGUUUACAGGAAACUCAUAUAACAAGAUUGCAUAGGAAACUACUCGUCAAUAAGAGAUUAGGCCAAGAAUUUAUUUCAUCGGAUAAAGUUAAGAAAAGAGGAGUGGUAAUCUAUGCAAAAGAAAAACUUUCCCCAAAGUUUAUAUUUAAAGAUGAACAAGGAAGGUAUUUGGCAAUUGAAGUGCAAAUUCAAGGUGAAAAAUUUUUGAUACUAGGGAUUUAUGCACCUAAUGAAGGGAAGUCAGAAUUUUUAAGAAGUUGCAUGAGACAUUGUUGGACUAUUUGGAUUACAAAUUAAUCAUGAUGGGAGACAUGAAUGGAGUGGUAUCUACAAAUAUGGACAAAGCACAAAGACAGGUAAUCACCAGAGAUGGGAGACUACCAAAGACUUUCUUUGAAAUAACUGAAAAUAUGGACUUGAUUGAUAUUUGGAGAACAAGGAAUCCUCUCGAGAGAGAGGGAACCUUUUCUCUGAAGCAAUGAUGACCUGGACCAGAAUCGAUCAAAUUUGGAUUACUAGUGGGUUGGCUCCAAAGAUUAAAAAAGUGGAAAUCUGCCCAAAGACCUGCUCCGACCAUAACGCCGUGAAGAUGGAAAUGAAACUUACAACAACUGGUCAAUUCAGAUGGAGGAUGAAUGACACCCUGUUUCGAGAUGAGGAGAUCCACAGAAAGGCCCAAAAAUUUUAAAGGACUACUUUGAAAUAAAUCUAAAAACUGAUGUAGAAAAAAGAGUGAUCUGGGACGCAAGUAAAGCAGUGAUGCGAGGAUUUCUAAUUCAACAAAAUUCUGU
rnacentral:lncRNA from 1 species